UCCUCUCUCUGUUACCCUUUUCUCUCUGUACAACUUCCUUCUACCAAGUUCUUUGCCUUCCCUUCUCACCACAUUUUUGCUUUUGUUUCACUUUUCUUUCGUCUUUAUUGCCCUCUCCAACUUGCAUUUUAUUCUCCCAACAUUUCCUAGCUAUUAGCUUUAAUAUUAAGGAAGAAAAUAAAAUCAUUUGUGGGGACAGUGCAUAAAAUUAGAACUCAAUCUCACCUUGACCCCUGAGGAGGUUGUGCCACUCACAGAGAUGAAAUCACAAACUACGUAGGCUACAAGGAGUCUGACUCAACCAGAAUUCUAUGAGCACAUAUUUCUACAGAGUGGUUCAUCAAAACAAGGGAAAGCCAUCCGUGCUCCAGUUGGCUCAAAAUCCGUUACUGCAAUUAUUCUGUGAAGUUAAGAAACCACCGGCCAGAAUUUGCAAGUGAAACCAAGAAAAGAAAUGCACUAUGCCAUCAGGACACAGGUUAUCAAUCCUGGAGGUGAUAUAUUUGACUUCUCAAACCAUCAUCUUAGUGAAUCUAGGCUGUCUUCUUAAAUAAAACAGGGGUAAAAUUGUGUUUGGUGGCUGCCAAUCAUGAAUAAUGCACAGUGCUGCACAGUCCACUUACAUGACCUCCUUCAUACUUGUAGUUGACAAGGAUCAGAGACUUUCAGUAACUCAGCUGCUAAAUGAAAUAGGCACACCCCAUCAAUUUGAUGCCAAAAGUGACUACGAUUAUUAGUGGAUUGGAGAAUGAGGCUGGGGAUCAAAACGAUUUGCUUGGAACUUCCGGCUUUAUUUGGAUUUGGUAGCAGCUACUACAAGAAUAAAAGAGUUCCACAUGCCCAGAAGAAUUUUCACUGCUGUGAACUUUUGUUUAUAAUCUUCCUCUGAUUGAAGGAUGACAUUCAUGAUUUCAAGAUCUUUGCUAUGCAAGAUGAUAAAUUGGGUUGCAUCUCUGACCAGGACUUCAAUCUUCUCAGAUGCAACAAAGUCCAGAGAGAUUGUCCUGUACUUGCUCCAUGCUUCAGGCAGACAAGGGAGCUUUGCAUUGAUGGAUGUGCCCAGUAUCUCCUCAUCUUCCUGGAGCUACACUCUAUGUGCAAUACAUCUCUCUCAACGUCCUCUAGUCAUUGCAGCAAGAGGGAAUGCACACGGUGGAGACACCGGGGCAUCUCAGAAGGAAAAUGCUGGGAAGGACUUAUUAGAGGAUGUGUCAGACACGAUUAUGAAGUCAGCCUUUUUUGGUCUUCGACCGUCAUAGACAUCGAGUGGGUUUGUCUGAUGAUGUUCUACAAAAUUGUUUGUGUUCAACAACAGAUCAACACCAAGUCCUGUCUAUGAGUCCCAGAUGAGGAGACUGAGCCCAGAGAAAUUCAGUGACUUUCCCAAAGUUACAAAGCCAAUAAAUAUAGAUGUGAGUUGAAAAUCCAGCUGCAUGGCAACAUGGCAAAUGCCUUGAAGAGAGUUGGAAGGCUAGACCUCUACCUUGACAUUUUCUGCUACUCACUGUUGAAGACUCCAGCAAGUCACUUAACACCACGGAGCUUCAGUGUUCUCAUCUGCAAGAUGAAAUAAAUACACGCCCUGAUUUACGCACGGAAUUGUUCUGAGGAUCAAUGGCAUGAUAUAUAUAAAAGUGCCUUUCCAACUGCAAAGCAAAUCUAAUAAAUGUAAGUGGCAUUA